UACGUAGGGCGCAAGCGUUGUCCGGAAUUAUUGGGCGUAAAGAGCUCGUAGGCGGUUUGUUGCGUCAGGAGUGAAAACUCGGGGCUUAACCCCGAGCCUGCUUCUGAUACGGGCAGACUAGAGGUAUGCAGGGGAGAACGGAAUUCCUGGUGUAGCGGUGAAAUGCGCAGAUAUCAGGAGGAACACCGGUGGCGAAGGCGGUUCUCUGGGCAUUACCUGACGCUGAGGAGCGAAAGUGUGGGGAGCGAACAGG
rnacentral:rRNA from 1 species